GAUGAAGAACGCAGCGAAAUGCGAUACGUAAUGUGAAUUGCAGAAUUCAGUGAAUCAUCGAGUCUUUGAACGCACAUUGCGCCCCCUGGUAUUCCGGGGGGCAUGCCUGUCCGUGCGUCAUUGCUGCCCUCAAGCACGGCUUGUGUGUUGGGCCUCCGUCCUCCUCCCGGGGGACGGGCCCGAAAGGCAGCGGCGGCACCGCGUCCGGUCCUCGAGCGUAUGGGGCUUCGUCACCCGCUCUUGUAGGCCCGGCCGGCGCUUGCCGACACAUCAAUCUUUUUUCCAGGUUGACCUCGGAUCAGGUAGGGAUACCCGCUGAACUUAAGCAUAUCAAUAAGCGGAGGA
rnacentral:misc_RNA from 1 species